CAGUAGCCGCGGUAAUACGAAGGGGGCUAGCGUUGCUCGGAAUGACUGGGCGUAAAGGGCGCGUAGGCGGCGAUCAAAGUCAGGCGUGAAAUUCCUGGGCUCAACCUGGGGGCUGCGUUUGAUACUUGAUUGCUAGAGUGGGGAAGAGGGUCGUGGAAUUCCCAGUGUAGGGGUGAAAUUCGUAGAUAUUGGGAAGAACACCGGUGGCGAAGGCGGCGACCUGGUCCUUGACUGACGCUGAGGCGCGAAAGCGUGGGGAGCAAACAGGAUUAGAUACCCCCGUAGUCCCUGUCUCUUAUAC
rnacentral:rRNA from 1 species